rnacentral:rRNA from 1 species
CCGUUGCCGGCGACCGGCGCACGGGUGAGUAACACGUAUGCAACCUGCCCGUGGCAGGGGGAUAAGCGGGGGAAACCCCGUCUAAUACCGCGUAACGCGGCCUAGGGACAUCCCAAGGCCGCCAAAGGGAGCAAUCCCGGCCACGGAUGGGCAUGCGGCGCAUUAGCUAGUCGGCGGGGUAACGGCCCACCGAGGCGACGAUGCGUAGGGGUUCUGAGAGGAAGGCCCCCACACUGGUACUGAGACACGGACCAGACUCCUACGGGAGGCAGCAG